CUACAGGUUUUUUUAGAAACCACUUGUUUAGAUUGUUCAGGGUUGU
rfam:Tauraco erythrolophus contig32018, whole genome shotgun sequence.